rnacentral:lncRNA from 1 species
CUCGUUAACAAAAGCAAAGGAACUCCAUAUCAAUUUCUAAAUCCAAAAUUUCUAAAUUAUAAAUUCACAUGGAUCCCUUAAUCUGAAAUAAAUAUAAAUUAGAUCUUUUAUCUUAAUCUAAAGAUAUCAAUUUUUUAUUAAUAACCUCAACAAUAAUAUCAAAAAAUCUCUUGAUCAACUUAGAUACGAAAUCUUUAAAUUGAAAUUUCAUACACAUCA